CUUGAGAGCGGCGGACGGGUGAGUAAUGCCUAGGAAUCUGCCUGGUAGUGGGGGAUAACGUUCGGAAACGGACGCUAAUACCGCAUACGUCCUACGGGAGAAAGCAGGGGACCUUCGGGCCUUGCGCUAUCAGAUGAGCCUAGGUCGGAUUAGCUAGUUGGUGAGGUAAUGGCUCACCAAGGCGACGAUCCGUAACUGGUCUGAGAGGAUGAUCAGUCACACUGGAACUGAGACACGGUCCAGACUCCUACGGGAGGCAGCAGUGGGGAAUAUUGGACAAUGGGCGAAAGCCUGAUCCAGCCAUGCCGCGUGUGUGAAGAAGGUCUUCGGAUUGUAAAGCACUUUAAGUUGGGAGGAAGGGCAGUUACCUAAUACGUGAUUGUUUUGACGUUACCGACAGAAUAAGCACCGGCUAACUCUGUGCCAGCAGCCGCGGUAAUACAGAGGGUGCAAGCGUUAAUCGGAAUUACUGGGCGUAAAGCGCGCGUAGGUGGUUUGUUAAGUUGGAUGUGAAAUCCCCGGGCUCAACCUGGGAACUGCAUUCAAAACUGACUGACUAGAGUGUGGUAGAGGGUGGUGGAAUUUCCUGUGUAG
rnacentral:rRNA from 1 species